rnacentral:rRNA from 1 species
CGACGGCUAAUACCGCAUGACGUCUACGGACCAAAGAUUUAUCGCCGAUGGAUCGGCCCGCGUCAGAUUAGGCUUGUUGGUGAGGUAAAGGCUCACCAAGGCGACGAUCUGUAGCGUGGUCUGAGAGGAUGAUCAGCCACACCUGGGACUGAGACACGGCCCAGACUCCUACGGGAGGCAGCAGUGGGGAAUAUUGGACAAUGGGCGCAAGCCUGAUCCAGCCUAUGCCGACGUGGGUGAAGAAGGCCCUAGGGUUGUAAACCCCUUUCAGCGGGGAAGAUAAUGACGGUACCCGCAGAAGAAGCCCCGGCUAACUCCGUG